GGUAAGAAGGUUUCGGAUCGUAAAGACUCUGUUGUUGGUGAAGAAGGAUAGAGGUAGUAACUGGCCUUAUUUGACGGUAAUCAACCAGAAAGUCACGGCUAACUACGUGCCAGCAGCCGCGGUAAUACGUAGGUGGCAAGCGUUGUCCGGAGUUUUAUUUGGGUCGUAAAGCGAGCGCAGGCGGAAGAUAAGUCUGAUGUGAAAGCCCUCGGCUUAACCGAGGAACUGCAUCGGAAACUGUUUUCUUGAGUGCAGAAGAGGAGAGUGGGAUUCCAUGUGUAGCGGUGGAAUGCGUAGAUAUAUGGAAGAACACCAGUGGCGAAGGCGACUCUCUUGGUCUGCAACUGACACUGAGGCUCGAAAGCAUGGGUAGCGAACAGGAUUAGAUACCCUGGUAGUCCAUGCCGUAAACGAUGAGUGCUAAGUGUUGGGAGGUUUCCGCCUCUCAGUGCUGCAGCUAACGCAUUAAGCACUCCGCCUGGGGAGUACGACCGCAAGGUUGAAACUCAAAGGAAUUGACGGUGGGUCGACGCGGCCG
rnacentral:rRNA from 1 species